rnacentral:rRNA from 1 species
CCUACGGGAGGCAGCAGUGGGGAAUAUUGCACAAUGGGGGAAACCCUGAUGCAGCGACGCCGCGUGAGUGAAGAAGUAUUUCGGUAUGUAAAGCUCUAUCAGCAGGGAAGAAGAAAGAAGGUACCUGACUAAGAAGACCCGGCUAACUACGUGCCAGCAGCAGCGGUAAUACGUAGGGGGCAAGCGUUAUCCGGAUUUACUGGGUGUAAGGGGAGCGUAGACGGCUGUGCAAGUCAGAAGUGAAAGCCCAGGGCUCAACCCUGGGACUGCUUUGGAAACUGUGGUGCUAGAGUGCUGGAGAGGUAAGUGGAAUUCCUAGUGUAGCGGUGGAAUGCGUAGAUAUUAGGAGGAACACCAGUGGCGAAGGCGGCUUACUGGACAGUAACUGACGUUGAGGCUCGAAAGCGUGGGGAGCAAACAGGAUUAGAUACCCGAGUAGUC